AUUGAACGCUGGCGGCAGGCCUAACACAUGCAAGUCGAACGAGUGGAGGAUGGGUGAGUAAUGUCUGGGAAACUGCGCGAUGGAGGGGGAUAACUACUGGAAACGGUAGCUAAUACCGCAUAAUAUCGGAUGUGCCCAGAUGGGAUGAGCUAGUAGGGGGGGUAAUGGCUCACCUAGGCGACGAUCCCUAGCUGGUCUGAGAGGAUGACCAGCCACACUGGAACUGAGACACGGCCCAGACUCCGACGUGAGGCAGCAGUGGGGAAGAUUGGACAAUGGGCGCAAGUCUGAUGCAGCCAUGCCGCGUGUAUGAAGAAGGCCUUCGGGUUGUAAAGUACUUUCAGCGAGGAGGCGGUACUCGCAGAAGAAGCAUCGGCUAACUCCGUGCCAGCAGCCGCGGUAAUAC
rnacentral:rRNA from 1 species